AACAGAAGGUGCAAACGUUGUUCGGAAUUACUGGGCGUAAAGCGCGUAUAGGUGGUUAGACAAGUCGGGUGUGAAAGCCCCGGGCUCAACCCGAGAAGUGCACUCGAAACUGCUUGGCUCGAGUGCCGGAGAGAGAAGCGGAAUUCUCGGUAUAGAGGUGAAAGUCGUAGAUAUCAAGAGGAACACCAGUGGCGAAGACGACUUCCUGGACGGCUACUAACGCUGAGACGCGAAAACGUGGAGAGCAAACAGG
rnacentral:rRNA from 1 species